UGACCAUUCUAUCACUUUAUAUUCAAAUCACUUGUACUAUUAAUAAAACAAAUAACCCACUUGUACUUCUUCUUUCUCACCUCUACGCAUCUCAGCUUUCAAGAUCAUCAUUCUCUCUCCUUUUUCACUUCUUCUUCCUCACCUCUACAAAAAUGGAGUUCAUUGCAAAUCUAGCAAAAUCUUUAUGAUUUUUCUUCUUUUGAAAAUUGAUAGGGGUCGAUGCUUUCUUCUAGCUAGCAUUAGGAGCUUUCAACCAUUGAUUGGAACCAUGAGCAAUGACAAUCUUCAAUUCAAUUGAAUCAAAAGGAAAAGUAAGACAUGGAGCAAUUAGAGAUGUUGCAAGUAUAUACUCUGUUUCUACAAGGACUGUUAGUCGAAUAUGGAGAAAGGGGAUUGACUGUGUUAAAAAUGGUGUGCCUGUUGAUACUUCUUUGAACUUGGCAGAAAAAAGAUUCAGAUUAGUCCUGAUGAAGUUUUCAGAAUUCCUUUGAAUCGUCGUACAACAAUUCGCUCAAUGGCUACUGCUCUAAAUAUGUCAAAGACAAGUUUGCAUAGAAGAGUUAAAGAAGGAUCACUGAAGUCACACUCAAAUGCUAUAAAGCCAUUAUUAACCGAGGAAAAUCGAAAGGUUAGAUUAGAAUUUUGCAUAUCUAUGAUUGAUUCAAAUUCACCUCCACAUAAUCCAUCUUUCAUAGAUAUGUAUGAUCGUGUUCAUAUAGAUGAAAAAUGGUUCUUCCUCUCUAAAGCUUCUCAAAAAUAUUACCUCUUGCCCGAUGAAGACGAACCAUACCGUACUUGUAAAAGUAAAAAGUUUAUAGCCAAAGUGAUGUUUCUAUGUGCUGUUGCCCGUCCAUGAGUUUGAUUCAGGGAGAAAUGAAAUGUUUGAUGGAAAAUUUGGAAUAUUCUCAUUUAUUUAUAAGGAAGCUGCUAAGCAUAGAAGUAAAAAUCGAGAAGCCGGAACACUGGUAACUAAGCCAAUUGAAUCAGUAAAUAAAGAAGUUACUAGGAAAUGGUUGAUUGAUUAUGUAUUGCCUGCAAUCAAGACAAUGCAAGGCUACAUAUUAGUGUAAAUGAUGCUGAAUUUCUUGAGGCUGCCCAAAAAGAUGGCUUUGACAUUCGUUUAACAUGUCAACCUCCAAACAGUCCGGACAUGAAUGUGCUAGAUCUUGGUUUUUUUAGAGUUAUUCAGUCUUUGCAAUAUCAAGAAGCCCCACAUAAUGUUGAUGAACUUGUUGUUGCUACUCAAAAAGCUUUUGAUGAUAUAUCAAUGAAAAGUCUUAAUAAUGUUUUUUUGACUCUACAACUAUGCAUGGUUGAUGUCAUGAAAAAGUUUGGAGGGAACAAUUACAAAAUUCCGCAUAUAAAUAAGCAAAAGUUGGAACAAGAAGGUCGACUACCUACCACUAUCUCUUGUGAUCCGGAAGUUUUAAAUGAAGCAAUUUCAAGCCUUCAACAUUAAUGUUUGAUGUACAUUUUGUAUUUUGUGAUUAUCAUUGCAAAAGUAAGGAGUAGUAUAGUUUGAUGUAUAUUUUGUAGUUAAUGCUUUAUUUUGUGUUUAUCUAGUAUGGACUAUGGAGUAAUUGUAACAUGGAACUAUGGUGAUUAAUGACUUAUUAGUGUAUUUUGUGCUUUUGUUGAUGAGAA